rnacentral:misc_RNA from 1 species
UCCGAGUUGACCCCGGCAGUCUCCUACGAGUCCCCGGCAUUACCCGCUGGCAACAUAGGACAAGGGUUGCGCUCGUUGCGGGACUUAACCCAACAUCUCACGACACGAGCUGACGACAACCAUGCACCACCUGUGCAGGGCCCCGAAGGACACCGUAUCUCUACGGCUUUUCCCUGCAUGUCAAGCCUAGGUAAGGUUCUUCGCGUUGCAUCGAAUUAAUCCGCAUGCUCCGCCGCUUGUGCGGGCCCCCGUCAAUUCCUUUGAGUUUUAGCCUUGCGGCCGUACUCCCCAGGCGGGGUGCUUAAUGCGUUAGCUGCGGCACAGAGGGCGUGGAAUACCCAUGUCAAGUCUACUACCUAGUACCCAUCGUUUAGGGCCAGGACUAC